UAGGGAAUAUUGGACAAUGGGCGCAAGCCUGAUCCAGCCAUGCCGCGUGAGUGAAGAAGGCCCUCGGGUUGUAAAGCUCUUUUAUCCGGAAAGAAAAGCGCCGGGUUAAUACCCUGGUGUUCUGACGGUACCGGAAGAAUAAGCACCGGCUAACUUCGUGCCAGCAGCCGCGGUAAUACGAAGGGUGCAAGCGUUACUCGGAAUUACUGGGCGUAAAGCGUGCGUAGGUGGUUCGUUAAGUCCGAUGUGAAAGCCCUGGGCUCAACCUGGGAAUGGCAUUGGAUACUGGCGGGCUAGAGUGCGGUAGAGGGUAGUGGAAUUCCCGGUGUAGCAGUGAAAUGCGUAGAGAUCGGGAGGAACAUCCGUGGCGAAGGCGACUACCUGGACCAGCACUGACACUGAGGCACGAAAGCGUGGGGAGCAAACA
rnacentral:rRNA from 1 species